UAUGUGUUUUGUUGGUGGCAGGUUUAUGGGAGUGGGGGCUUGGCCCCUUGGCAUUACUUUCAUAGGUUGUAUCGCCACAAGUUUUAAACUGUUUAGUCUUUGAGGCAUUUAACUUUGGCUAAAGUCUUUGAGGCAUUUCCUUAUCAAUUGAUUCGAUUUUGAUUCGUUCGAUUCUUUUUAUGAACAAAAAUUUGAUUUCAGAUCUGGAUUUUAUAGGAGGUUAGAUGUAACUAAGUACGGAGGUUGGAUGCUCCACUCUGUCUGCCUUCAGAAGGCAACUUUAUUUAUUUCCCACAUAUAUGGGUUCAAUUUCAGAUUUUGAUUUGGCUUCGAAGAGAUUCUAAACCCAUGAGCUCCUAUGGCUUUCUGACUCUCAAGUAUUCUCAUGGCUCUGUUUUCAGGCUUCCAAUGAGAAGAAUAUGCUUGGAGGAUCUUUAUAAAUGACAAAGCAGCUGAGGAUAAGGCAGAG